ensembl:lncRNA
UGAUUUUUCACACGCCAGUUGUACGAACAGAACACCCUGGUAUGGCAUUGUAUUGCUUUGCAUGCUCUACGUUUCUCUCUGGCUUCUGUAUCGGACAAGAUUAUAUAUUGAUGUUGAUUAUAUAUACUGACAGGUGUUCCUGUUGUGUUCACUGCAUGGGUGUCACACUACUAGCCAUUUAAUGUCCACAUGCUGUAACAACUUUUAAACUGUCAGAAAAUGACUUUUAACGUGUCUGCAGAGGUAAACGGAAACAUGAACAUCAGAGUGAAACCACACACAUGGCAUCAGAGGUGGACUGGCUCCAGGACAGGUGAGUGUUGAUCUUAAGGUUUAUACUAUCUGUCAUAACUGUAUCGACUUUCCUAAGAUACAUUUUCACCCUCUCUUUUUCAAUGUCCUCUCUGUGAUUUGUUAUUUUCAGUUUUGAGGAAAUGGAGGUCACCAUAGAAGAAGAUGAAUGCAACAGUGUGAAGAACAGAUUAUCUGACUUGACUAGUGACAUGGAAAACGUUGAAGAAACAACUGAGCCGAGUUCUCCAGGAGCUGCUGAUAGCUGUGAUGAAGAUGUCUACGUACCAAUAAUUCCUCAGAGGUCCAAAACAUCUGAACUUUUACUGGAAUGUGAAGAAGAGGAGCUGGAGCCAUGGCAGAAACACACUUUACAUGUUCACUUGAAAGAAGAGACUGAUGUCAAAGAAGAGGAUGUUGGGGAGUUGAAUGAUGACCAAACAGAUUGUAAACCAUAUCCUUCAUCUCUUCAGAACUGGUCAGCUGGUCAGCACACCCUAAAACCUAAAGCCAAUGGUUUUGUCCACACUUCUGAGGUGCAUCAAAUCGGCAACAACCCUGUGUCUUUAUCCAAUGUCCAGAGUCCGGAAGUAUGUGCAACAUCAUCUAACCAGCUGCAGUCAGAGCAGUCAAACUCACAGACCCUCUCUGUACCUUUGUCUCUGCCAUGCUUAGCUGAAGUAAAACUUGAGUCAACUGGCACAUCAGACAAAUAUAAUAGCUAGAAGGGCGCUCAGAGAGUGUAGACCUACGCCAAGGCCAUACCCUAGAGCUCUGCACUGUAUCCUUAAUUCCGCUCCCGAUUGCAGUGCGUGCGUCUGCUCCCGCCCGCACCUGCAAAAAAUAUGAUUUUUAUAUUUCCAAAAGUUCUGUGAGAUGUUGAUGAGGGGAAAUCUGCUAAAAUCAGGAAGACACCACAGUAACUGCAGAAAGAGCUGGGUUGUGUUGAAGUGGUGUUGAGAAGGUCACUCUCGCCAGACUGCUUUUUCUUACUUACCAUUUCAUGUUAAUGAGAAACACGGUCAGAGCGGGACUGUGCAGCCGGCGAGCGGUUCAUGAUCUGCUUUAAUCUUGAUUUCAUCUUCAUUUGUUGACUCCCUCCUUUGUCCUCCAUACACUGUUGUCUUCACUCGCAGCAAAGAGAGAGUUGUGUUGUCCUGAUGGAUCCCAAUGCAGUUUAUUUUGUAAAGCGAAAAAUAAUUUGUGCCCCAUUUGUUCCAUGAUUCGGAACUGCUCCAAAAUGUAGAGGGUUCUCCUUUGGCCCUUGCUACACCCUUCCACCAUGGUUUCAUGAAAAUCAGGCCAGUAGUUUUUCAGUAAUCAUGCUGACAGACAUAAAAAAAAUAACAAACAGACAAAUCAAGUCAAAAAAUUAACCUCCUUGGUGAAGGUAAUAAAAGUUAUGUACCAACAGUUAUAAUGGGUAAGUUAACCAGUUGUCAUAAUUACACACAUGUUGUUGUCUAACAUAAAUGUGUCCUAUCCAAUGCACAAAUGAACAACAUAGCGAACCUGUUACCUAAUUUUCUAAAAACAACUUUGUACCAUCCAGUCAGUUACAUUCCAUGUCAAAGGUACAUGUUUUGUUGUAAUAUUAUUGUACAGUAAAAUAAAUUCUUAAAUUAAAACCCAU